GACGAACGCUGGCGGCGCGCCUAACACAUGCAAGUCGAACGGAGCUGAGAGAAGCUUGCUUUUCUUAGCUUAGUGGCGGACGGGUGAGUAACGCGUGAGUAACCUGCCCUGGAGUGGGGGACAACAGUUGGAAACGACUGCUAAUACCGCAUAAGCCCACGAUCCGGCAUCGGAUUGAGGGAAAAGGAUUUAUUCGCUUCAGGAUGGACUCGCGUCCAAUUAGCUAGUUGGUGAGGUAACGGCCCACCAAGGCGACGAUUGGUAGCCGGACUGAGAGGUUGAACGGCCACAUUGGGACUGAGACACGGCCCAGACUCCUACGGGAGGCAGCAGUGGGGGAUAUUGCACAAUGGGGGAAACCCUGAUGCAGCGACGCCGCGUGGAGGAAGAAGGUUUUCGGAUUGUAAACUCCUGUCGUUAGGGACGAUAAUGACGGUACCUAACAAGAAAGCACCGGCUAACUACGUG
rnacentral:rRNA from 1 species